rnacentral:lncRNA from 1 species
CUGAGACAGGAGAAUCACUUGAACCUGGGAGGUGGAGGUUGCAGUGAGCCAAGGUCAUGUCACUGCACUUCAGCCUGGGCAACAGAGCAAGACUCCAUCUCUAAAUAAUCAAUCAGAUUACUUUUUAAAAAGCCCAUAACUUUUUGCAUUUCAACUUGCAAUUUUUUUUUCCAAUCAGAUGAGAAUUAAUUGCUAUCUUAUGGCUAUUUUAAUUUUUAUUUUUCUCACCAUGAACGAUGAGAGAAUCUUUUCAUAGUUUAUUUGGUCAUUUGUAUUUACUUGUGUAUGUAUUGCUCUUCAUUAUAUUUGCUUAGUUUUAAAUUGGGCAGUUUUGUCUUUUGCAUAGCAUUUCUGACCAACGACUACUAAAUGCCAGUAUGUCCGCCCCAGAUCUCAAACAAGCAGAAAUGCCACCAUACAAUUUCCAGAUUCUCCCCAGUUGAGAACCACUGCUUUAGAACCUCCAGUAUAGUGUUAAGCAAUAAGGAUUGCAGUGAUUUCUGUUUAGUUUCUGAUUUCCACUGAAAUAGGUUUAGUGUUUUGCUGUUUAGGAUACUAUAUUUAAGGAGAUUGAUUCUAUUAGAGAUUCUAUUAGAGUGUUUAGGAGGGAUGAUUGUCAGAUUUUAUCCUGUGCCAUCUUGGCAUCUUUAUUUUUUAUUUAUUUUUAUUAUACUUUAAGUUCUAGGGUACAUGUGCACAACGUGCAGGUUUGUUACAUAUGCAUACAUGUGCCAUGUUGGUGUGCUGCACCCAUUAACUCGUCAUUUACAUUAGGUAUAUCUCCUAAUGCUAUCCCUCCCCCUUCCCCUACCCCACAACAGGCCCCGGUGUGUGAUGAUCCCCUUCCUGUGUCCAAGUGUUCUCAUUGUUCAAUUCCCACCUAUGAGUAAGAACAUGCGGUGUUUGGUUUUUGUCCUUGCGAUAGUUUGCUGAGAAUGAUGGUUUCCAGUUUCAUCCAUGUCCCUACAAAGGACAUGAACUCAUCCUUUUUUAUGGCUACAUAGUAUUCCAUGGUGUAUAUGUGCCACAUUUUCUUAAUCCAGUCUAUCAUUGAUGGACAUUUGGGUUGGUUCCAAGUCUUUGCUAUUGUGAAUAGUGCCACAAUAAACAUACGUGUACAUGUGUCUUUAUAGCAGCAGCAUUACAUCAAUUUCCUUACUCAGGUAUGCCACAGGUUGCAAGCUGGUCCCUCGGACCUGUGUAAGGACUCCUAGAGCUAUUCCUGUUUUUUUCUGUUACAUGUAAAGAAAAGUCUUGGCCUGUUGGCAAGCUUAACACUGGGGCUUGGGUUAGGGCCUUCUUUAGGGCAAGCUGGGGGGACGCCGGGAUAGGGAGGUAGACUCUGAGGGCUUCCUGUAGGGCAUAAAUCACACUUUUUACAUAAUUGUGAGUUGUUUCUUAAUGAAAAGAAAGUUUGUACAUAUGGCACUUCACUCCAUUUGCCUCUUUUUUUAUACAAAAGAGGUCUAGCUGUAAGAUGUUA